AUGAAGUGCGAUGUGGAUAU
rnacentral:miRNA from 1 species